rnacentral:misc_RNA from 1 species
CUUGUACACACCGCCCGUCACACCAUGGGAGUGGGUUGCUCCAGAAGUAGAUAGUCUAACCCUCGGGAGGACGUUUACCACGGAGUGAUUCAUGACUGGGGUGAAGUCGUAACAAGGUAGCCCUAGGGGAACCUGGGGCUGGAUCACCUCCUUAUACGAUUUAGAACUUAUUUGUUCGUAGUGUCCACACAGAUGAUUGUUAGUUAGUUUUACCCUUUGGGUUAACUAAUUAAUAUGCUCUUUAAAAAUUUGGAAAAGCUGAUAAUAAAAUUCGUAUAAAUAACAUUGUUAUUUGUACAGAGUUUUCAAAAGUAAAAAAGAAUGAUAGCAGUAUCAUUCAGUGCCAAUUUAUGAACAUCUUCGUUGAUUAAUUGGUAUCUACUUUAGUAUUCAAUAUUAACUUCUGGCGAAGUUAAACUGUCACGAAACAAAGACCCGUUUGGGUUGUAUGGUUAAGUGACUAAGCGUACACGGUGGAUGCCUUGGCAGUUGGAGGCGAUGAAGGACGUAUUAACUUGCGAUAAGCCUAGUCAAGCUAGUAAAAAGCACUUGAGACUAGCAUUUCCGAAUGGGGAAACCC